rnacentral:tRNA from 1 species
GCUCAGUGAUAGAGCACUUGCCUAGCAUGCAAAAGGCUCUGGGUUCAAUUCCCAG